rnacentral:lncRNA from 1 species
UUUUUUUUUUUAUGUCUGUCUAUAAUGGUAGUGAUGUUGGCAGCCGUUGGAUCGUCAUCAAAGAGGCGUCACCACCACCGCAUGCUAACGCAGGGAACAAAGGUAUCCCAUCCGCAUCUGGAUGUUGGCAUGACAUCUGACAUCGAGGAUCUUACAGAAGGCGCCUCCUCCGAUGCCAUAAGAUCCAUUGGCCAUAAGGUUUAAAAUUUAGAUUAAUGAAAUAACUCUUUAAAGGGAUCAUUGAUUGAACCAUCAUUUUAUGAUUUUUUAUUGCUGCACAGUCUCUAUCUUCGACUGAGGAAUUCUAUAAUAUCAUCACACAUCCAUAUUCCACUUUUCUGGAUUUUUAAAUUGUUUAUAAUCAAUAUUUCAAACUCCUCUUUUUGGUUUCCUUAAGCAAACUUAUGGAUAUAUCUAAAAUAUUCUUGGAUAUUCUAGAAUAUUUUACCAUCUAACAGUUGUUAUUCAUUUGGAUUAAUUUCAUUUUUAUAAUUUAUAAACAUGUUUAUAAUCUAUAAACUUUAUUAAUCACUUUCUAGUAUAUUUUAGUUUAUUCUACCAUCUAAUGGUUGAUAUUCAAUAAAAUUAAUCUUGUGUUUAUAAAUUAUAAACAUGUAAAGUUCCACUAUAAAGCAAACCAUGGAACGUGCAGCAAAUUAUCAGAUUAUACACCGAAAAAUAACCAGUUUUAAAACUUUAUUUAAAUAUUUGCCUCUAGUCGUCAGUUUUAAUGCCCCUCAGAUCUGACGUGUUUGUGACGUGCCAGACGGGCUGGCGUCAGGAACCCUAGAACAACAAAGUCUUGAAAGGCUGUUCACAACAGAGGAAGACAAAGGCUUUUGACAACAUUGUUCUUGAGUUGGCACUAUGCUUCUCAUUUUAUCUUAUCAUUAUUAUUAUAUAUAAAUUAUGGUUCUUUAUUUAGUAUAUUUUAAUAACAAUAUUAUCAAUGUUUCUCUUAUAUGAUAUUAUUUUUUUCCUUCUCAUCAAUAUUUUGUACAUAUUUUAUGGCACUCUGAGAACACUCUGUCAUUCUCAACUCGGAUUGGUCUUCGAAGAUUUUAGCUGAAUUUUAGUCCCAUCCUACGAUCGCAAAAUCAGGCGUAAUCAGCACGGUUGAGAGAAGGAAAUACAUGAAAUCUGUAUAUAAUUUACCAGCAUGUCGCUGUUGGACAAGUUAUCAAAGAGCGAACCCUCUACGACGGGCCAUCCUCCGAGAUUUACAGCAUGAACCGGUGCCUGGCCUGUGACGAGUAUGACUGUAUCUCAGAUAAAUCCCUCUGUGGCAUCGGCGGCAUCUUCUCAAACACUUCAGCCACCUCGCAACAAUUCCCAUGUUGGCCAUAUAGCACGGCAGGAGAUUAGUUUUCUCCAUGGAAUCUUGGGCUUUGUCACACUGGUGAUAAUCUCCGUAAGCUCUUAGCAAAAGAGUACUAGACACUACAGUUGUUAAUACUCUCAAACGCUUGGGACAUAUACACACUGAUCAAUGGUUGCUUUGUUGGACAUAUCCCUGGGUCAUCAAAUUACAAGAUGCCAGGAAAUACUGCUCUGCAGCAUCUUGUCAAAGACACUGGCUUCAUCUUGUCAAAGAUGAUCACCAGAGCAGUAUUUCCU